GGCGAGCGGCGGACGGGUGAGUAAUGUCUGGGAAACUGCCUGAUGGAGGGGGAUAACUACUGGAAACGGUAGCUAAUACCGCAUAACGUCGCAAGACCAAAGAGGGGGACCUUCGGGCCUCUUGCCAUCAGAUGUGCCCAGAUGGGAUUAGCUAGUAGGUGGGGUAACGGCUCACCUAGGCGACGAUCCCUAGCUGGUCUGAGAGGAUGACCAGCCACACUGGAACUGAGACACGGUCCAGACUCCUACGGGAGGCAGCAGUGGGGAAUAUUGCACAAUGGGCGCAAGCCUGAUGCAGCCAUGCCGCGUGUAUGAAGAAGGCCUUCGGGUUGUAAAGUACUUUCAGCGGGGAGGAAGGCGUUGAGGUUAAUAACCUCAGCGAUUGACGUUACCCGCAGAAGAAGCACCGGCUAACUCCGUGCCAGCAGCCGCGGUAAUACGGAGGGUGCAAGCGUUAAUCGGAAUUACUGGGCGUAAAGCGCACGCAGGCGGUCUGUCAAGUCGGAUGUGAAAUCCCCGGGCUCAACCUGGGAACUGCAUUCGAAACUGGCAGGCUAGAGUCUUGUAGAGGGGGGUAGAAUUCCAGGUGUAGCGGUGAAAUGCGUAGAGAUCUG
rnacentral:rRNA from 1 species